rnacentral:tRNA from 1 species
UCCCCAGUAGCUCAGAGGGUAAAGCAUCUGCCUGAAAUGCAGGUAGAGAUAGGUUCGAUCCCUGGGAGGGGAA